rnacentral:lncRNA from 1 species
AUUUUUUUGUGGAUUUGCGAAUUUUUACGGAUUCACAGAAGUAAAUCCAUAUCCAAUCCACCGACUGUGGAUUUUUAAAUUUUCAUAAUCCAAUCCACAUAUUGGAUUUCUGCGGAUUAGACAGAUUGAGCGGAUUGAAUUGAAUUAUGAACACCCUCAUCCCUUGUGUGUGUCUCAUUUACACCCAUUCUUAAUUACUAGACAAUCAUAAAAUAUAUAACUAAAACACAUUCAUAAUGGUUUUGGUUAAUAAGAAGAAUAAGAAAAGUAUUGAUGUGUUCCCUUACCCUUUCUAUUCUUACCACUAGUAAGCCUAAUGAUGUGUUUACUAAACAAUAAUAUGAAUUGGAAUGGAAGAAUCAAAAUUAAUAAGUUGUUUACCUAUAAAAUGAAGGCUUGGAAUCAUAAUGUGGACCCAUAAAUUUAAGAAUCAUUACUAGAGCUCUGAUUUCCAAGGGUGUUAGAAAGUAGAAUUCUAUUUCAAACAAUAACUUUUUUAUCCCAACUUAAUUUUUGAAUACCCAUUUUAUCCUUAAUUUAAA